rnacentral:snRNA from 1 species
GGAUGUGAGAGAAAUCUGGCUGUGACACCUGUCACCUGACUGAUUGCCAAGGUUGAUUCAGCUGAUCUGUUUAGCUAGGCAGGUGUCCCCUUGCUCUCUCAUCACUCCACAUGCAUCCAUCCCAAAGUGGAAGAAGAUAGCCUUCUCCAUAGAGGACGACUAUUCUUUGAUCAAAGGUACACAAGAAACUGUGUUACCCUACUCAAGCAUUCAAACAAGCUCUGAAGGUCCAUUUGUAGGAAAAGGUAGGAUAGCCAAGCCUGUCAGACUCCAGACACAUCCAAAUGAGACCCUGCAUGAGAUAGUCAGCCUUUAUUA